UGGGGAUGCUGGAUUACGUUGCUGCAGGCCGGGCAGCUGUUUGGAUAGGCGAAGAUAAAAACGCCCGGUGCAGACCGGGCGUUUCGGG
rnacentral:tRNA from 1 species